rnacentral:lncRNA from 1 species
UCUCCAGACGCGAGCAGGCCAUCUCCAGCGAGAUCAGUACAUCUCCAGCAGGCCAUCUCCAUCACAGUAACCCUCCCUUCCCCCUCCCUUCCGUCGACCACCACCAGCAGCCAUCUUCGCGAGCAAGCAUCUCCAGACGCGAGCUCCAGCGAGAUCAGUACAUCUCCAGCAGGUCAUCUCCAGAGCUUAGAGCCUUAGACUAUUGUUAAUCUUAAUUAUAUAGUUUUAGACUUUGUUAUGCAAUUUCUAUUUACUAUUUAGACUUUUAAACUUUAUUGGGUCAUUGGAACACUUUUUGCUAUAUUAUAUUAUUCAUAUAUUAUGGAAAUAUCAGGGGUAAUUAUAAAAAAUACAUGUAAAUAUAACAUGUCGCAUAUUUACGUAUAUGCGCGUAUAUGCACGCAUAUACUUAU